GUUCCUAGGUAUGGUGUGCAGGAGAAAGCUUAUUAUAGAUAUGUGGGAGAGCAUAAGGAGAUGCAGAGAACUCUGGGAGAGUUCAGAAUGUACAUGAUUCUGAGCCAGGCCUUGUGGGAGAUGGGGAGGGGAAGGGAGAGGGAAGAUAGGGGAACCAGUUGCAGAAGCCAGGAGGCCCAAAGGUAAAAGGAAAGCAGGUAACCAAAAUGGCUGGAUUACAUAGGCAUGGGCACCUCAGCCAUUUGUCUCAGGUUUCAACACUUGACUAGUAUCUGAGAAAGACAAUUUUAAAAAAUGUAAUAUUCAUUUUGUUCAUGGUUUUAGAGGCUCUACUUUUUUUUUUUUUAAUCUUAUUGCAAAGGAGGAAAACCCCUUGGCAGAAAGACAGAAGUGAGAAACCCUGUCUACCUAAUGACACUCAGGAGAAACAGGAAGGAGAAAAAGAAAAGCUAUAUUGACCCUUGAAAAGUAUAUUCCCUGAGACCUACUUUUCUAGCUAGGCCCCACUUUCCAUAGUUGUACCACCUCCCAAUAGUCUAUUUAAAAUUUGAAUUCAGCAGUGGUUUAAACCAAUAACUAGGUGAAAGGUUUAUUUUAUUUUUAUUUUACUAUAUAUUCUGAUCACAAUUUCCCCUCCCUCAACUCCUCUU
rnacentral:lncRNA from 1 species